AGCUUAUCUAGAGCGGUGGAGGGACUGGCCCGAUGAAACCCGGCAACCAGUAUAAAUUGCAGUUAUGGUUUAUACAAUGGUGCUAAAUCCUGCAGCUACAUGCUGGGAGAUGAGGA
rnacentral:ncRNA from 2 species